CCUACGGGCGGCAGCAGUGGGGAAUAUUGCACAAUGGGGGAAACCCUGAUGCAGCGACGCCGCGUGAGUGAAGAAGCGUUUCGGCGCGUAAAGCUCUGUCAGCGGGGCAGAAACACGGUUCGCGAGAGCCGCGGACGGUACCCGACCAAGAAGCCCCGGCUAACUACGUGCCAGCAGCCGCGGUAAUACGUAGGGGGCAAGCGUUAUCCGGAUUGACGGGGUGUAAAGGGAGCGUAGGCGGCGAGACAAGUCAGGAGUGAAAGGCCGGGGCCCAACCCCGGGACUGCACUGGAAACUGCCUGGCGGGAGUACAGGAGAGGUAAGUGGAAUUCCUAGUGUAGCGGUGAAAUGCGUAGAUAUUAGGAGGAACACCAGUGGCGAAGGCGGCUUACUGGACUGUAACUGACGUUGAGGCUCGAAAGCGUGGGGAGCAAACAGGAUUAGAUACCCGUGUAGUC
rnacentral:rRNA from 1 species